rnacentral:rRNA from 1 species
UACGAGUGCCUCGAGCGUUAUCCGGAAUCACUGGGCGUAAAGGGUGUGUAGGCGGCUAUGUUAGUCUUCUGUCAAAUUCUUCGGCUUAACCGGGGGUCCGCAGAAGAUACGGCAUAGCUUGAGGAUGCGAGAGGAGUGCGGAACUCUAGGUGUAGGGGUGAAAUCCGUUGAUAUCUAGGGGAACACCAAAAGCGAAGGCAGCACUCUGGCGCAUUUCCUGACGCUGAAACACGAAAGCGUGGGGAGCAAAUGGG